GAUGAACGCUGGCGGCGUGCCUAAUACAUGCAAGUCGAACGGGGAGUACUAAUUUCGGUUUUUUACUCCUAGUGGCGAACGGGUGAGUAACGCGUUGGUGACCUGCCCCGAAGCGGGGGAUAACAGUUCGAAAGGACUGCUAAUACCCCAUGUGGUCGUACAGGUUAGAGGCUGAACGACUAAAGGAGCAAUCCACUUCGGGAGGGGCCUGCGUCCCAUCAGCUAGUUGGUAAGGUAACGGCCUACCAAGGCGAUGACGGGUAGGGGACCUGAGAGGGUGGUCCCCCACACUGGCACUGAAACACGGGCCAGACACCUACGGGUGGCAGCAGUAGGGAAUAUUGCACAAUGGGCGAAAGCCUGAUGCAGCAACGCCGCGUGCGCGAAGAAGGCCUUCGGGUUGUAAAGCGCUUUUCUGGAGGAAGAGGAAGGACGGUACUCCAGGAAUAAGGAUCGGCUAACUACGUG
rnacentral:rRNA from 1 species